ACAAAGUGAGGCUAAACUGUUCUGUGUUGUGUUGUAGCUCCCGACAGCUGGUACAACUACACUAUUGAUGGCGUAGUAUUUUAUUUAAUACAAUCUGAAUAAACCCUGAACAAACUAAAAUUAAAAAUGUGACUUUAGCUUUUAAUUAUAUAAUAUAUACAGCUUUCGACUUUCAUUUACAGCCAUACAUCUCAAAACUGUAAGAAUUGUUUAUUAAUUAACAAUAUUUAAUUAAUUCACUAAUUGGUUAAUGUUUGGGUUGAUUUAUGUUUUUGUACCAGACUGACAGACAGACAGACUUUUUUCAUAAAAACGUUGUAAUAGCGUUAAGUCCAAGUAAAGGUUGAAUUUGUAACAGAUUUCAUUGCGCUACUGUAUGUAGCUCGACAUAGACAGCACAGAGUAGUCUAUUCUGAAUAGACAAUAAGACCGCUACAAUUAGGCUCUAGAAAAUACUCAGAAUGAUAAUACAGGUGGCCACAUAUUAUGUAUUUUACAAUUGUUAAAUAUACUUUUAAUUUUAUAAUUUAAUUUUCUCUAGGUAUAUUUGAUUAUGUAAUCAUACCAGGCCUCUUAUAUCUUAACCACUCUGUAUAAACUUCUAGACACGAAUAAUACGGAGAUCUGUGGACAAACAACACAAACUAAUCUAAACAAUUAGCUCUAACUGAUUUGCAGGAAACUCACAGAUUUUAGUGGUACAAUUUGUUUUUUUUUAAUAAAUAAGUUUUAAUGUCAGAUGUAGGUGGGGAGUGACAUUUGGCUGUUGGACAAAAUGUUUUGGUUGACACGUUAAUUUAAAAAAUCGACAACUAAUUUGUAACUCCGGAUAUUUUCAUGUGUUCUUCUUUCUCACAGAAAAGCAAGCUAUAUUUAGUGUAUUUUGUUUAUAUAUAUAUAUAUAUUUAAUGAUGAUGACAUAAAAUACAGAUUUUCCCGUUUUUAACUAUCAGGAAGAAUUCACAAGAUACUCUUUAUAAUUUAGAACUUGAAUGCAAGGAUAGAUCUGCAUUUGAAUUUUGUUAUUCAAAUUUUUAUUAGCUGCAAUGACAUUAAAAUAAUAACUACUUAGGAUUUCAUUAAUACUCCUUACUUCAUAGUUAGUGUAUAAAAGUGAAACAAAAUGUGUUAGACCGUGUUGCUCAAAAUGGAGAUUUUAAGUGACAGUUUUAUUCGAGCUAAGAGUGACCCAAACUUUAACGUUGGACUUUACAGUAACAAUGUUCAAAUAAAACAGUUCAAAAGAGUCACAAGAGAUCCACAUAUUGACAAACUGGUUAAUACCAGCCAAUACGACAGCCCCGAAGGACACUCUUAGCAGAAUAAAGUUACUAAAUAAAGAUUUUGAAAGAGAAGAAGAAACAUGUGCUUUCAAAAUUUUCUUACUAAAAUCAAGAUGUUUCUUCUGACCCGCCCAGGCGAGAAUAGAAACAAACGAAUGUUCCAAAAAAUACACACAAAAAGAGACGAUAUGACAUACAAUCAUUACAGAAUGAUUGAUCUUAUCAUGGAAAAACAUCUUAAACAUUAAUAGAACUUGUACUUCUACAGUUAACAUUUAAAGUUUAAAAGGAAUAGACUUGUAUUGUACAGAAAUACAAAUAUUAACUUUAAUAACUAAACAUUUUUCUGAGAGUCAGUUGUAUGGAGAAUAGCAUUGAAAGACUCACUGGUAGUGUAGUUGCGAUUCAAUCCUCUCAUCAUGGUCAACCUGACGAAUGUGUGCCAUCAGGAUUCAAGUAUUUAGAAGGUGGUGUGGUGGGUGUAAGCAAAGAGAUUUUAUCAUCUGUUGCUGUAAAUAGCCUGCCCUUAAGUAGCGUGCCUGUAGCAUCAGGCCCUGUUAGUAGAGAGACCAUAAGUCUAGGUAAAAGAGUGACCUCAUGUGAUCUGCCUGUAGCAGAAAGUGUAGGUUCAAGUGCUGUGGUUGAAGCUUUAAGUGUUGGAAGUGGAAUAUCUGUAGGAAGUGACCGUCACAUUACAGAUAGUCAAACUAAUAUACCUCAGAAUGAGAACUAUAGUGACGGAGCUUGUGGUGGUUUAACAAACAACUUUCGCUUAUCUGAAAGGAAAGAUAUUGGUAGCGCAAACAUUGAAACUGUUACAUCCAAUGCUUCUGCUCUGACUAUAAUUGAUAAUGCAAGACCAAAGAGAACAGAGAUGGCUUCAAAAAUUAAAAGGUUGAAAUCUUUUACUAGUAAGAAUAAUAUAUAUCAAAGGAAAGAGGAUCUUUCAUUGGCUGGAUUCUAUUAUAUAGGUUAUGGCGACUGCGUGCGGUGCUUCAAUUGUGGCGGUGGACUCCAUGAUUGGAAAGAGGAUGAUGACGUUUGGGUUGAGCAUUCCAAGUGGUUUCCAGAGUGUACAUAUGUCAUUGAACAAAUGGGGGAACUUUUCGUUCAGACUGUCCAACAGCUUAAAGCUCUACAGGAAAAGGUUACUUUUACUGAUGUUGACAUUGUCUUGGAAGUUAAAACAAAAUUUAAGCUUCCAGAGGAAGGGAGACCGUUGUAAAUAACAGCGACACAAGUCAAAGAAGCAAACAUUGAAGAAAAUGAAGACCACUCAGUAUUAUUAGGAGGAAACACAAGCGAAAAAAACAACACUAUUUCAUGAUGGCAUGUAGGCUCAUGUUAAGAAGAGUGGAGAACAAUUUGAGCCCUUGCAGUAUCAAAUGGGGUAAAACACUGUUCAGUAUCAUGUUCUCCAUUUUAUGUUGACAGGAUGCAUCCUAAGGUAGACUGUCUAAAAAUGUUUGGAAUAGAAGAGGUAUCACCACAAGCACAAAACUAUGGGUCUAUCGAGCUGUCUUCCUCCCUACAUUGAUUUAUGCCUCAGAAAUAUGGACAGUAUACAGAAGACAUGAAAAAAACUGAAACCACUUUCACAUGAUAUGUCUCAUAAAAAUACUGAUGAUAAUUGGCAAGAAAUAAUACUUGAGUCUUUUGAAGAGUGGGGCUGCAAAGCAUCCUCACAAUCUUGAUGAAGGUUUAGCUGUGGUGGGUAGGCCAUAUCUGCAGUAUGGAAGACUCUAACUGUUCAACUCCUUUAUGGUUAAGUAAAGAAAGGAAGCGCUAGCAAGGUGGACAGAAAAAGCUUCAGCUACACCCUUAAAGCAUUUAUGAAUGCCUUCAGCAUUGACCCAGCCACCUGGGAGUCAGAAGGACAUGAUAGAGCAUCAUGGCAUUGCGCCAGGAAAACUGGCACACAAAUUGCAGAGGACAAGAGAACAGCGUUGGCAGAAAAAAAGCAUCAGAGAAAAAGGUCAAUGACACUAGCUCCAGCUGGAAUAACCUGCCCAGUCUGCAGCUGAACAUUCUGGGCUCACAUAGAUCUCACCAGCCACAUGAGGAGACAUAAAACCCCUGUGCAAUGCCCUCUACUCUGUGAAACCACAAUAUAUGCUGCCCAAUGAAAUUAUGAUUCACUAAUGAAUAAAAUGAACUGACAUCAUCACUGAAUUUUUUGUGUGAAAUAAUCUUCCUAACCAAAAUGCAUAAUGAAAUAUCAUGAAAAUUACUCAUUAGGCUACAACAGUGUGGAUAUAUUAUAUAUAUAUAUGUAUAUAUAUAAAUAUAUUUUUUUGUUUAAUCCAGAAGGAUUAAACGUGUCUAAUUGUGAAAUUCUUAUUUUUCAUUAGUUUUGCUGGUAGAGUACUGCACAAAAAACUUACUUUUGCAUCUGAAAAAAAUCCAUAAUUAUUUAUAUUAUUUACUAGAACUACUUAACAAAAAGUAAAACAAAGAUACUUAAAUCAGAACGGCCAUCACCCUUGUAUGAGUUCUUUUGCAGUAGAAAUAGUCAUAAAUGAGACUUUUGACAAGUGUCAAAGACGACAAAAGGAAACUCACUAUACAAUAUAUAACUUACAAGCACAAAUUGAUUGUAUUUUAAUAUUAACUUUUAUUCUAAUUUUAAUUAAUAUAUAAGUAAGUGGGCAAAACCUGACCAGAGUAUAUAUAUAUAUAUGUGUGUGUGCUAGAUUUAUUUAUUAUUUUCAAAAAUUAUACUACAAAAACUAUUAACAAAAACCAUAUGGAACAUUUAAGAGUGUUAACUUUUAAAUCUUCAUUUUUUAUUUAUUAAGGAAUCAUUCUUUUCUAUUUUUAUUACCGGGUACUAAAUUUCUUUAUUGAUGAAAAACUAGAAUGAGCUACCUGUGAAUCUGUGAAUAUUAUAACCAGUACACAGAUUCAUUAUGUGUGAGCAAUGCAGAAAAACAAAUGAUUUUUUAGUUGAAAAAGCUCUUCACUUUAACUGAAUGAAAUUAAUCCUUUCUUAAUUUAAAAUGAAAUUUACUUUGAAAUACCAUAGAUGGACUAACUACAGAAAUGCAAACAUUCAUUUUUUUUAUACAGAAACAAUUGUAAUUAAUUUUUUAAUACCUGGCUU